AGAGUUUGAUCCUGGCUCAGGACAACGCUGGCGGCGUGCCUAACACAUGCAAGUCGAACGGGACUGGGGGCAACUCCAGUUCAGUGGCAGAUGGGUGCGUAACACGUGAGGAACUUGUCCGACGGCGGGGGAUAGCCGGCCCAACGGCCGGGUAAUACCGCGUACGCUCAUUUGGGGACAUCCCUGGGUGAGGAAAGCAGCCGCAAGGUUGCGCCGAUGGAGAGCCUCGCGGCGUAUCAGCUAGUUGGCGGGGUAACGGCCCACCAAGGCUACGACGCGUAGCUGGUCUGAGAGGAUGGCCAGCCACAUUGGGACUGAGACACGGCCCAGACUCCUACGGGAGGCAGCAGUGGGGAAUAUUGCGCAAUGGCCGAAAGGCUGACGCAGCGACGCCGCGUGUGGGAUGACGGCCCUCGGGUUGUAAACCACUGUCGGGAGGGACGAAUACAGGGCCUCGAAUAGGGGACCCUGGGUGACGGUACCUCCAAAGGAAGCACCGGCUAACUCCGUGCCAGCAGCCGCGGUAAUACGGAGGGUGCGAGCGUUGUCCGGAAUCACUGGGCGUAAAGGGCGCGUAGGCGGUUCGUUAAGUUGCUGGUGAAAUCCCGGGGCUCAACUCCGGGGCUGCCGGCAAGACUGGCGGGCUAGAGCACGGUAGAGGCGGAUGGAAUUCCCGGUGUAGCGGUGGAAUGCGUAGAUAUCGGGAAGAAUACCGGUGGCGAAGGCGUUCCGCUGGGCCGUUGCUGACGCUGAGGCGCGACAGCGUGGGGAGCAAACAGGAUUAGAUACCCUGGUAGUCCACGCCGUAAACGAUGGACACUAUGCGUCGGGGGGAGCGACCCCCUCGGUGCCGUCGCUAACGCAGUAAGUGUCCCGCCUGGGGAGUACGGCCGCAAGGCUGAAACUCAAAGGAAUUGACGGGGGCCCGCACAAGCGUGGAGCAUGUGGUUUAAUUCGAAGCAACGCGAAGAACCUUACCUGGGCUUGACAUACUGGUGUAAGCUGGUGGAAACACCGGCCCCUCUUCGGAGCGCCAGCACAGGUGCUGCAUGGCUGUCGUCAGCUCGUGUCGUGAGAUGUUGGGUUAAGUCCCGCAACGAGCGCAACCCUCGCUCCCAGUUGCCAGCGGUUCGGCCGGGGACUCUGGGGGGACUGCCGGCGUUAAGCCGGAGGAAGGUGGGGACGACGUCAAGUCAUCACGGCCCUUACGUCCAGGGCGACACACGUGCUACAAUGCCCGGUACAGCGCGUCGCGAACUCGCGAGAGGGAGCCAAUCGCUAAAAGCCGGGCUAAGUUCGGAUUGUAGUCUGCAACUCGACUGCAUGAAGCCGGAAUCGCUAGUAAUCGCGGAUCAGCCACGCCGCGGUGAAUACGUUCCCGGGCCUUGUACACACCGCCCGUCACGCCAUGGAAGCCGGAGGGACCCGAAACCGGUGGGCCGACCGCAAGGGGGCAGCCGUCUAAGGUCAAUUCGGUGACUGGGGCGAAGUCGUAACAAGGUAGCCGUAGGGGAACCUGCGGCUG
rnacentral:rRNA from 1 species